UACGGAGGGAGCUAGCGUUGUUCGGAAUUACUGGGCGUAAAGCGCACGUAGGCGGCUUUGUAAGUUAGAGGUGAAAGCCCGGGGCUCAACCCCGGAAUUGCCUUUAAGACUGCAUCGCUUGAAUCCGGGAGAGGUGAGUGGAAUUCCGAGUGUAGAGGUGAAAUUCGUAGAUAUUCGGAAGAACACCAGUGGCGAAGGCGCGUUCUGGCGUCUAUUACUGACGUUCAGGUACGAAAGCGUGGGUAGCAAACAGG
rnacentral:rRNA from 1 species